AGUGAACGCUGGCGGUAGGCCUAACACAUGCAAGUCGAACGGCAGCACAGUAAGAGCUUGCUCUUACGGGUGGCGAGUGGCGGACGGGUGAGGAAUACAUCGGAAUCUACUUUUUCGUGGGGGAUAACGUAGGGAAACUUACGCUAAUACCGCAUACGACCUACGGGUGAAAGCAGGGGAUCUUCGGACCUUGCGCGAUUGAAUGAGCCGAUGUCGGAUUAGCUAGUUGGCGGGGUAAAGGCCCACCAAGGCGACGAUCCGUAGCUGGUCUGAGAGGAUGAUCGGCCACACUGGAACUUAGACACGGUCCAGACUCCUACGGGAGGCAGCAGUGGGGAAUAUUGGACAAUGGGCGCAAGCCUGAUCCAGCCAUACCGCGUGUGUGAAGAAGGCCUUCGGGUUGUAAAGCCCUUUUGUUGGGAAAGAAAAGCAGCAGGUUAAUACCCCGCUGUUCUGACGGUACCCAAAGAAUAAGCACCGGCUAACUUCGUG
rnacentral:rRNA from 1 species